CAGGGAUCAGGUGAUGACACACCAGUGUUAAUGAAGAGGGCUGGCUCAGUUGAUCCACCAGGCAAGGUGAAGAAGGCUUGAUACUCUUCUGGUGGAAAACUGAAAAUGUUUUGCUUGCAAAAAUAGCAGGAGAGUGAGGUAGCAGGCUUGCUAGGAGAGGUGCUGUGGAGGAGAUGUGUGGCACUCUUGAAAAUGGUCUUAAGACGGAUGUUUGGCUUGGUUUGGUAAACUUUUGAACACUAGAAAGUUAGCAGCCAAAUUUCAACAACAUAUAUACAGCCUUAAAGUUAUCGGCUUCCUUCUAACUAUACUGAUAUGAGAAUACUUCUAUUCCAAUGGCUGUGAGCAUGAAACAACAUGGCUUUGUGAUGAAGACCCCUUCCAUGAAUCAGUCAAGCACAUGUAUAUCUUUAAUUAAAGCUAGUGAGACAAUCAUUGGUUAUCCCCAUCCAGAAAUGGACCAACUACUGCGGAAGUUCUUAGGGAAGUGUGUACAGACCAAAGUUAUCUCAUCUGCCAGAACAAUCACUGAAGUCCCUUUCGAAGGAAAAUCAACAUCCAGUGGAGUACCUAGGUCUGCGUAGAGGUACUCGUACAUUUCUUCAUGACAAUCCUGACAUUCCUGCUGAAAGUUUUUCAGUUGUGGCUCUAGUGAGGCCGUUUACUCAUGAUGUCCCUUGUGACCCGCUGGUAGACAAGUACUCAGAUUACUAACUUGGCCGAGAACCAGAAUUACCUAUGUUCAGCAGUGGGGAUACACCACAGUAGUUAGAAGACAAAGAAUGAUCACAAAACUGAGAAGGACGCUUGACAGCUAGAGACUUAAAUAUUUCCAUGGAAAUGCGGAAUGGUGCCAGU